CCUACGGGAGGCAGCAGUGAGGAAUAUUGGUCAAUGGACGAGAGUCUGAACCAGCCAAGUAGCGUGAAGGAUGACUGCCCUAUGGGUUGUAAACUUCUUUUAUAUGGGAAUAAAAUGUUCCACGUGUGGGAUUUUGUAUGUACCAUAUGAAUAAGGAUCGGCUAACUCCGUGCCAGCAGCCGCGGUAAUACGGAGGAUCCGAGCGUUAUCCGGAUUUAUUGGGUUUAAAGGGAGCGUAGGUGGAUUGUUAAGUCAGUUGUGAAAGUUUGCGGCUCAACCUGAAAAUUGCAGUUGAAACUGGCAGGCUUGAGUACAGUAGAGGUGGGCGGAAUUCGUGGUGUAGCGGUGAAAUGCUUAGAGAUCACGAAGAAUUCCGAUUGCGAAGGCAGCUCACUGGACUGCAACUGACACUGAGGCUCGAAAGUGUGGGUAUCAAACAGGAUUAGAUACCCUAGUAGUC
rnacentral:rRNA from 1 species